ACUUUCUUCAUCUUCUUCAUCACUUGGAUUAGAGAAGAAAGCUUGUUUAAGAGCCUAGUUCGAGCGCGUGUGUCGAGGAUCGCGGCAAGGGCGUCGCGCAGUAGAUAGCAUGGACCACCGGCGUUAGCUCACUACCCUCGAGUAUAAUAAAAAAGGAAAGAAUGAUAUGUAAAACCCUUUUGUGAAGAAAUGUAAUGUAUAUGAGGGAUGGCAUUUUGGUUGUAUGUAUGAGAAGUCAAAUGAAAUAUGUAAUGUUUCUUGUGUGUGAACAAGUGAUGUAAUGGAUAGUUUAAAUUCUCUUGUAUC